rnacentral:lncRNA from 1 species
AGUCCCGCGAGAGCAGUGCUUGGUCGGGACCUCGAAGCCGGAGCCCGAGCGGGAGAGGCCGCGGAGACCCCGGCCCGGCGCAGGCAGAGACGCACCUGCGGGAGGCGGGCGCGCCGGCUGGAGAGGAGGCCGUGGGGCGGAGCGGCUCAGCGUUCUGCUCGGCUGCAGCGGCCCCUGCCGGAGACCCGGGCGCCGUGGUCUUCUUUAUAAUUGAAGGAUUGUCUCUCUGUUUUUAUUUGGGGUGGGGGUGGGGGUGGGGGGCGGCGCAGUGACUUGCUUCGACUUUGUCAGCUUCCAGGGUUCAUUCCACUGCCCAAAUAUGUAGUGAGUUACUACCGGCUUUGCUUCCUCCUUCAGCAAACGGCUGGACCACACAACUUCAGGAGAGAGGAUUUUAAAUGUUAGGGUCAUUUUCCCUAAAACGAUUUCAAAUGACGGUGAGUUGGUUCCCAGGCUAGGCCACCUAACCUCGAACGCAAUGACGAGUGCACUCUGACUGCUGAGCUGAGAGCCUUCCGUGGCUCUGGGACCCAGUGACUCACGUGGCUCCGCAUGUCCCCGUUCCCUUAAAAUCGGAGUCUUUCCUUUUCUUGGAUUCCGGCUUGCCACCAGCACCACUUGGCAGAAUGGAAUUGCUUGCGGGCAUGUCAGUGGACUAGAAAGGGAAGUAAGUGGUCUGAGAACUUGGGGGCCAAAAAUGUUACAUUAACAUUUUUUGCCUACCUAAAAUCUCAGCCACUUCCCACAGUUUGGCUGGAAAUUCAGCCCAUGUUGAGGCCCUUCUCAUUCCUGCAGGUGUUACCAGCAACUCAGAGGUUUAUGGAGUAACGAAAUUGGGGAGGGCCUCACAUCCGGCUGCUGUUUUUCCCCCUAACGUGUAUGGUGCUUAUUCUGAGCCAGACACUUUUAAGAACUGCACAUUAUUAACCAUUUUAAAUCGUCCCCACCACCUGAUGAAAUAGGUACUGUUAUCCCCACUUUAUGGGUGGGGAAACCGAGGCCCAGGGAGGUCAAGUAACUGCGCAAAGCACAAAACUGUUGAGUAGUAGUGUUACCAGGGCAGUCCUGGAGAAAUCGCUCAGAGGGCAAAACUGAGAGCUCAUUAUUUUCUUAAACAGUAGACAGCUGAAAAUGCUCAUUGUUUUUUAAACCGUUUUGUUUGUUUGAUUUUUUUUCCUAGUCUCUUUAUCUAUAGGUAACCCAGCUUAAAACAACUGCGGUUGGCCCGGGAUCCUCACUGCCCUUUGCCAAGUACCAGAGAAAGAUAAGGCCUACUAGGAACCAGAGAAAACCAGAACCAGCCACCCCUUGUUACUUUUAGAUCAUUAAUACAUCAUUAUAUGCUCAACUCCCGACCCGUAGAAGAGAAUCGCCGCCAUUUUCUGAUAGUGCAUUGUAUGAAGAGGCAUGUUUAUGAAAUGCACCUGUGCGUCUAGAGUUCCUCCCGGCAUAUGCUUGCAUACCUCCCCACUCCACAUCUAACGCCUUACAAUUCCCCAGCUUCCCAAAGCUCUGGAAGAAGGGGGUCUUUAGAGUGAAAGUUUACUCCUUCUCUAUUCCUGGCCAGGAAUGAAACCCGCUUGCCGUUUUUUCCAGUUGGUGUGCUUUCUUUGCAACUGAUACAGACUAGGAAAAGAACGCAAUUUACCAGUAACAGUAGAGCUGGGAUUUAAAUCUAAGUGCUUUGACUUCAAAGACAAGGUUCCAAGCUGCUACACAUACCAAUUCUCGUUAAAGUGUAU